rnacentral:lncRNA from 12 species
UGCAAAUGAACUGUGGAGGGCUGGGACACAUCCAUGGUGGAUAACACAUUACAGCUGCACUCUGGUGCCAGGAUGCUGUGGAGGGACUGGAUGCUCUCAUGGUGAUCUUGGACACCUGAGCUAUUGGAUGAGCUGAG